AAGUGUACUGUACACAUUUUACACCAGCUAACCAUCAAUUAAAUUUUUAAAAACUAGCCUAAAUGAUUUUUUUUUAAUAUUAAAAUUAUAGUUUUGUUCUACUAAAAACAAAAUGCACUUUAUAAGUAUUUAUUUACUCCAACAUUAAAUUCGAGUCUAGAGUUGACUAAAUAUAAUGACAACUCGAACAAAUUCAGAUACGUAAACAAAAUAAAAAAAAAUCAUGUCAGGAAGAGGAUUUUGCGUUAAAGUAGAAAUCGAUUUACACGCUAUCACGUGUCCUGGUGUUUGGCUCUGUCCUAAUGGCAAAGUGGCACUUCGAAUAAAUACUCUAAAGUCUUCUAUUGAAUCUCAUCGAAUUUCGCCAAUUUUCCCUCUAUUAUUUCAUGAUAAAUUUACAUUUAAAAUGGUCUUUAGAGGAGUAACUUCGCUAGGUGCUUUGCAACGUAAAUUAGAGGAUGAAUUUUUCUACACAGAAUUAUUACAGUGGACCGAAAAUUCCAGUGGAUUUGUAAUUUUAUCAACGUUUGAGACAAAUUUAGCAGAUUUAUUAUAUCCCUCGUCUUGUCUCAAAGGAUUACUCGCCGGCGUUGAUGUUGAUUUACUGAUGGAGCCCACCAAAUUUUUUCCCGGUAUUCUGGCUCCGAAAAUAGAAGUAUCGACGAAAACAAUGGUAGAGGAAAUUGUCGGAAUUUGUGACUCGAAUACAACAGGAGCGUUUGUUGUUAAUCCAAAAAUAAUCCAUUCGAAGAAUGCAUCCAAUAUUAAUAGAAAACAGCCGGCUAAGGGAAUUAUUAGACAAAGAAAAGUUUGUCACAGUAAAGGAAAAUCCAAAUAUCAACCUUGUCGUUCAUGUAAGAAAGUGACAAUAGUGAAAAUUCCUAGAUCUUGUUCUCCGGUAUCAUCCGAUCGUUAUACUGAAUCUCCAUCAGAAUGUUAUCAUAAACAGUCGAAAAUAUCCAAUUCUAGUUGCACCAACUCUCAUAGAAAUUGUUUCAACAAAAAGAGCCAUAAAUUCGAAACUUGUCCUGUUUGCUCAAAAUAUAAUUGUUACUUUUCUGAAAAAGAAGAUUUUUGCUGUAAUAAAUGUGAGAGCAUGAAAAUAAUUGAUUCCUCGCCAAAGGCUCAGGAAGUACUUAAUUCAUAUUUGGAAAAAGAAAAUAAUUGUCAAUUUCAAUUGAAAAGUUCACCUCCAUUGAAAGAUCCUGCAAAUUCAAUUUUAAGAGAUAGAAUACAUCAGCUACAGAAAGCAAAAGAAAAAUUCUCUCAUGACACGUGUAUUGCAGACAGCUUCUGUGUUUGUGAUCCGGCGUCAGAUUAUUGCGAUCACAGUAGACCAGAAUUUUACAAAAAUUUAGAAAAAUUUUACAAGAGAAUGUAUAAACAAGCAAAAUUACGUGCUGAACAAAUGGAUUGUUAUUGAUUUUAUCCACUCUAAGGAUGAAUAUUGAAAUUUAUUAAACUUGGAGAAUUUUCGUUUUGUGACAAAAGUAACAGGAAUAGGAAAGAGAAUUCCUUAUGGAAUGGCUAAUCGAGAAAAAUACUUUACCGGCAUAGCAAUCACGUUAGUUGAUGUUAUUUGGUUCGUUAAUUACCUGAAACGAACAAUCCAGGAUGGUCAGAGAGAGACGAUGGAUCUGGGUCGGUCUAAAAUAGCUGCUACUGCAUUCACCUAACACCCCCACUUUGUGGUGCGUCGUUGGCGUCUCAAUGAAAAAGAAAUCUUCUUCAAAAAUUUUAUACUUUUCAAUC